ACACGACUACAUUAGAUACCCCGGUAGUCCCAGCCGUAAACUAUGCGCGUUAGGUGUAUCGGUGACCACGAGUCACCGAGGUGCCGAAGGGAAACCGUGAAACGUGCCGCCUGGGAAGUACGGUCGCAAGGCUGAAACUUAAAGGAAUUGGCGGGGAGCACCACAACGGGUGGAGCCUGCGGUUUAAUUGGACUCAACGCCGGGAAGCUCACCGGAUAGGACAGCAGAAUGAUUGCCGGGCUGAAGACCCUGCAUGACUAGCUG
rnacentral:rRNA from 1 species